rnacentral:rRNA from 1 species
CCUACGGGUGGCAGCAGUGGGGGAUAUUGCACAAUGGGGGAAACCCUGAUGCAGCGACGCCGCGUGAGUGAAGAAGUAUUUCGGUAUGUAAAGCUCUAUCAGCAGGGAAGAAAAUGACAGUACCUGACCAAGCCGCCCCGGCUAACUACGUGCCAGCAGCCGCGGUAAUACGUCGGGGGCAAGCGUUAUCCGGAUUUACUGGGUGUAAGGGGAGCGUAGACGGUUAUGUAAGUCUGGAGUGAAAGCCCGGGGCCCAACCCCGGGACUGCUUUGGAUACUGUGUAACUGGAGUGCAGGAGGGGCAGGCGGAAUGCCUGGUGUAGCGGUGAAAUGCGUAGAGAUCAGGAGGAACACCGGCGGCGAAGGCGGCCUGCUGAACUGAAACUGACGUUGAGGCUCGAAAGCGUGGGGAGCAAACAGGAUUAGAUACCCGAGUAGUC